UUUUGAUCAUAUGUAGAUCUGUUUAAUUUGUAUGUAAAUAUAUAUGUGUGUGCAGUGCUACACAUUGCUUACAAGAUAUCUACCUUUUCUUUUUAUCUUGUUAUACACGAGUAGAUAUCUAUAGCUUUAUCUUAAAAAAGGAGGUAGAAAAUGGUAAGAAGUAUGCUGACUUUUGUCCAUAAAAGAAACAAUGUGAAUAAUAUUAUUGAAGAAGAAUUGAAGUGUUUAAUUUUGGGGUUCUUUUUUUCCUUUCUUCUUCUGUUUUGUUUUUAUUACCUUUUGUAGGUUUGUUGCUCUUGUCGCUGCUGCUGCCGCGCUGCUACACCUUCCUUCAAUUCCUUUGGGUCAUUCUCUCUCUGCAGGUCGGCAAGAGCCGUGAUGAUCAGAAGGAAUUGAUGGAAGAUUAUUCUUCAAAAUUAAAAGCUGAUCACCGAAACCAGGUUUGAUUUCAAUUCUAAAUCACUACACCAAUGUGGAAGCUCUAGCUUAAUUAUCGAUAAUUUUGCUUUUGUUUAACUAGCUAGAUUGUAUAGAGGAAAUAAAUGUAAAAUUAGUUGGAUUGAAUGGACGAUGGACCAGAUACAUUGUUUACCUUAACUUGUGUUAUCUACCAUGUACGCCACUGCUUACCACGUACAAUAAUAAUAAAAAAAGACUCUGAUUAAUUUAA